rnacentral:rRNA from 1 species
CCGCACAAGCGGAGGAACAUGUUGGUUUAAUUCGAUGAUACGCGAGGAACCUUUACCUGGGCUUUAAAUGUAGUAGUGCAUUUUUUAGAGAUAGAAAUUCCCUUCGGGGCUUUCUGCAAGGUGCUGCAUGGUUGUCGUCAGCUCGUGCCGUGAGGUGUCGGGUUAAGUCCCAUAACGAGCGCAACCCUUAUCGUUAGUUGCCAUCUGGUAAUGCAGGGGACUCUAGCGAAACUGCCACCGUAAGGUGAGAGGAAGUGGGAUGACGUCAAAUCAGCACGGCCCUUAUGUCCAGGGCUACACACGUGUUACAAUGGUCGGUACAGAGGGCAGCUACCUGGUGACAGGAUGCUAAUCUCGAAAACCGGUCUCAGUUCGGAUCGAAGUCUGCAACUCGACUUCGUGAAGCUGGAUUCGCUAGUAAUCGCGCAUCAGCUAUGGCGCGGUGAAUACGUUCCCGGGCCUU